UACGUAGGGGGCAAGCGUUGUCCGGAUUUAUUGGGCGUAAAGAGCGUGUAGGCGGCCAUGUAGGUCCGUUGUGAAAACUCGAGGCUCAACCUCGAGACGCCGAUGGAAACCAUGUGGCUAGAGUCCGGAAGAGGAGAGUGGAAUUCCUGGUGUAGCGGUGAAAUGCGCAGAUAUCAGGAAGAACGCCCGUGGCUAAGGCGGCUCUCUAGUACGGUACUGACGCUGAGACGCGAAAGCGUGGGGAGCGAACAGG
rnacentral:rRNA from 1 species